rnacentral:rRNA from 1 species
UAACACCGGCAGCUCUAGUGGUAGCUGUUUUUAUUGGGCCUAAAGCGUUCGUAGCCGGUUUGAUAAGUCUUUGGUGAAAUCCUGUAGCUUAACUAUGGGAAUUGCUGAGGAUACUGUCAGGCUUGAGGUCGGGAGAGGUUAGCGGUACUCCCAGGGUAGGGGUGAAAUCCUGUAAUCCUGGGAGGACCACCUGUGGCGAAGGCGGCUAACUGGAACGAACCUGACGGUGAGGGACGAAAGCUAGGGGCGCGAACCGG